rnacentral:pre_miRNA from 1 species
AGUGGAAUUGCUGGGUUAUAUGGUAAGUCUUUUUAGGAACUACCAAACUUUUCCAAAAUGGCUGUACCAUUUUACAUUCCCACCAGCAGU